UACAGAGGGUGCAAGCGUUAAUCGGAAUUACUGGGGGUAAAGCGUGCGUAGACGGUUAUGUAAGUCGGGUGUGAAAGCCCCGGGCUCAACCUGGGAAUGCCAUUCGAGACUGCAUAGCUAGGGUGCGGAAGAGGGAAGCGGAAUUUCAGGUGUAGCGGUGAAAUGCGUAGAUAUCUGAAGGAACACCAGUGGCGAAAGCGGCUUCCUGGUCCAGCACCGACGUCAGGCACGAAAGCGUGGGGAGCAAACAGG
rnacentral:rRNA from 1 species